rnacentral:lncRNA from 13 species
AUGUGCCACAGGACCAAGGGCUCCUGGAGAAAACUGAUUGUAGGUGUGUUGCACCCGUCGUGUUUCUUGAGGAGUGACCCACCUCCAGAUGAGCAGGUGAUUAUGACACCUGCAGGUGGCAGCCAGACCCCACUACACCGAGGCAAUGGAAAGCACCUGGAAAACAAAGAAUGCGGAGUGCUGCAGCCCCAAACUGAGAGAAACGCUGACUGGCAGCAGAAGGUGCCUGUCUGUCUUCUGCUACACUUCAUCCUGCCAAUACUGUUUACAGAGAGAAACCUCCAGGCCAAUGCCAAGCUGCCUUUAGUCCUACCCAACUCCCCGAGCCUCCUGUCCUCACUGGUGCCAAAGAACUAGAGAAAACUGAGGUUGCGGAGGGCUGCUCUUCCAAAAUAACCACAACUGUCAGCACGCCAGGUGAGGUCUCGACAGUACCUGGGCUCAGCCGUAAAUUUGCUUCAAUGUCAGAGGGGGCACUGGGAGCUGGGUGAGGCCAGGCAAUGAGAGAAGGCACUUCACAAACUUUCUGGGAUUGAUUGUCCCAGUUUCUGGAAAACACUGGGACAUCUGAGUCUGCAGCUGUGGCUGGGCAGCCACAACUGUGCCUGAAUAGGUGAGGCACAGCCCUGGGUUUCUCUCCCUCACUGCACCUGGAAUUUUGACAGCAGCCCCUUUAAAUGGGUUACUGUUAACAUUGCUUACAGCACUUCUCUCAUUGCAGAAUGACUUCCGGUGAACCUAAAAAUCUCUACUCUCUGAUUAUGCCUUUGUCUUUAUAUUGACAAACCCUAUCCUGAAGCAGUCAGUCAACAUUAGCAUAUAAAAUACCAGCACUUAAGAGAUUCCAAAGAUUUUAGGAGUUCUAUAUCAGAAAACAAAGAGCCAACCACUUAUAAAUCAUUGUUUCAGCUUCUGCUUUUUCCAACCCAAUGUCUUCAGACAAAGCUUUUACUUCGGCCUCUCAAUUGCUCUAGUUCAGGUCCUAAACCAAACUGAGUUGUGCUUUCUUCAAGAGAGCUCACAGAGAGCUAAAAACAUAUCUCUCUUUCCAGUUCAUAAAAAUACCAGACUCAGCCCUAUAGCUGGAAAAUCUCGAGCCCCCACUUUACUGUGGAGAGCUUAUUUGUUUUGCUUAUUAAACUUCUGUUGUUAGCUGAACUUGGUGUUCAGGAAGCUUAAUUAUCUUGGCCCUGGGGCAUUACAUCAGCCCGUGAUUGCACCCAGGCUAAGCUCUCAUGCCAAGAUUCCACUUCAGGUGCUGUUUGGUCCAGGGCCCAGGUAAAGGGCCAACCAACAUAAGUCACAUCUAUUCUUUCAGCUUCUGAUGAAUUGCACAUUUAUUUUUUAUUUUUUUCAU